AUUGAACGCUGGCGGCAGGCCUAACACAUGCAAGUCGAGCGAGCGGCGGACGGGUGAGUAAUGUAUGGGGACUGCCCGAUAGAGGGGGAUAACUACUGGAAACGGUAGCUAAUACCGCAUACUAUCGGAUAACCCAUAUGGGAUUAGCUAGUAGGUGAGGUAAUGGCUCACCUAGGCGACGAUCCCUAGCUGGUCUGAGCGGAUGAUCAGCCACACUGUGACGUAGAGCCGGCCCAGACUCCUACGGAGGCAGCAGUGGGGAAUUUUGGACAAUGGGGGAAACCCUGAUCCAGCCAUCCCGCGUGUAUGAAGAGGGCCCUAGGGUUGUAAAGUACUUUCAGUCGGGAGGCGUUACCGACAGAAGAAGCACCGGCUAACUCCGUGCCAGCAGCCGCGGUAAAC
rnacentral:rRNA from 1 species